AACGAACGAUGGCGGCAUGCCUAACACAUGCAAGUCGAACGAGACCUUCGGGUCUAGUGGCGCACGGGUGCGUAACGCGUGGGAAUCUGCCCUUGGGUUCGGAAUAACAGCGAGAAAUUGCUGCUAAUACCGGAUGAUGACGUAAGUCCAAAGAUUUAUCGCCCAAGGAUGAGCCCGCGUAGGAUUAGCUAGUUGGUGAGGUAAAGGCUCACCAAGGCGACGAUCCUUAGCUGGUCUGAGAGGAUGAUCAGCCACACUGGGACUGAGACACGGCCCAGACUCCUACGGGAGGCAGCAGUGGGGAAUAUUGGACAAUGGGCGAAAGCCUGAUCCAGCAAUGCCGCGUGAGUGAUGAAGGCCUUAGGGUUGUAAAGCUCUUUUACCCGGGAUGAUAAUGACAGUACCGGGAGAAUAAGCUCCGGCUAACUCCGUGCCAGCAGCCGCGGUAAU
rnacentral:rRNA from 1 species